UACGUAGGUGGCAAGCGUUUGUCCGGAAUUAUUGGGCGUAAAGUGCGCGCAGGCGGUCCUUUAAGUCUGAUGUGAAAGCCCACGGCUCAACUGGGGAGGGUCAUUCGAUACUGAUCGACUCGAAGGCAGGAGAGGGUAGUGGAAUUCCCGGUGUAGUGGUGAAAUGCGUAGAUAUCGGGAGGAACACCAGUGGCGAAGGCGACUACCUGGCCUGUUCUUGACGCUGAGGCGCGAAAGCUAGGGGAGCAAACGGG
rnacentral:rRNA from 1 species